rnacentral:rRNA from 1 species
CCUACGGGCGGCAGCAGUGAGGAAUAUUGGUCAAUGGUCGCGAGCCUGAACCAGCCAAGUAGCGUGAAGGAUGACUGCCCUACGGGUUGUAAACGUCUUUUAUAAAGGAAUAAAGUGAGGCACGUGUGCCUUUUUGUUUGUACUUUAUGAAUAAGGAUCGGCUAAUUCCGUGCCAGCAGCCGCGGUAAUACGGAGGAUCCGAGCGUUAUACGGAUUUAUUGGGUUUAAAGGGAGCGUAGAGGGGUUGUUAAGACAGUUGUGAAAGUUUGUGGCUCAACCGUAAAAUUGCAAUUGAUACUGGCAGCCUUGAGUACAGUAGAGGUAGGCGGAAUUCGUGGUGUAGCAGUGAAAUGCUUAGAUAUCACGAAGAACUCCGAUUGCGAAGGCAGCUUACGAAAAUGCCACUGACAUUGAUGCUCGAAAGUGUAGGUAUCAAACAGGAUUAGAUACCCCAGUAGUC